rnacentral:rRNA from 1 species
GGUUAUACCAAGUGAUUAAGUUAUAUUUAUAGGUAAAAAGACAGUUAGAUCUAUGAAAAUUUAGUUGAUUGAUCAUUUAUACAAAAGUAAAAUUUGGAUAUAAAUAGUUAAUUUAAUAACGACUUUAUAUAUUGAAGCUGUGACAGUUUUGAGGGAAACUGGGAUUAGAUACCCCAUUAUUCUUGACUGUAAAUAUAAUUAGAUUUACCUGAGUACUAUGAAUAGUUAAAAAUUUAAAACUCAAAGGGCUUGGCGGUGUUUUAGACCUAUCAGGGGAACCUGUCCCAUAAUCGACAAUCCGCGUUGUACCUAACCUUAUUUUGUAUCCAGUUUGUAUACCGUCGUCGUCAGGUAACUUUUAAAAACAAAGAAGUUAGCAACAUGAAUUUUUAAGUUAAAACGUCAGAUCAAGGUGCAGCUUAUAAUAAGGAGAGGAUGGGUUACAAUUAUUAAAUUUAUAAUCACGAAAAUUUAAAUGAAAAUAUAUUUAGAAGGAGGACUUGAAAGUAAACUAAAAUAUAUAAAUAGAUUGAAUAAGGCUCUG